rnacentral:lncRNA from 1 species
AGUAGAGAAGUGGUGUUCCAGGCAGGAAUUGACAUAGCAAAGAGACUCAUAUUUAAGAAAGGAGAAACAGGAAGUGUCCCUUUUCGCCUCGAUGUCUCCUCCAGUGGCAAGAGAGGGUGCCAGUGGAAGGCAUCCUCUAUAAGUCUUAUAACAUAUAUAGAUUUAUGAUAAUUAAGACUGAGCUAGCAGAUGAGAAUCCUAGUCAUUGGCCAUGCAUCUUUGUACCUAAUAUGUCUCUGUAUUAUUUGUCCAUCCACAGGCAGAACUCGGGAGGCUGGCGGAGAUUGCCCAUGAGGCAGUAGGGUUUGGGCGGCUUUGGUGGAAAGAUUUAUCAUAAGACACUAGUUUGAGUGAGAAAUAUAUAAUGAAGAAUGCUCAUACUCAGAUGACAGAACUCAUUUGGGGCCAAAAAUCUGCUGAUGAAAUUAUAGAUACAUGAAAAGACAGAAGGCAGUGCUAUCAAGAUGAAGAUGGCAUAGCAGUGGGAAGGGCAAUGAGGAAAAAAGAACUGGAGAGAAUAUAGCUGUAACUGGUUGUCAGAGAAAACAGCAGGAAAUCAGAAAUAAGGUCCUGUUUGUUUUCCAAAAAAACCUGUAAAGUUUUCAUUUUAGUGCAAUGCUAUAUCAUCUUGAAAGGACUCCAUUAGACCUUCUACAUGACUGCUUAUGCCCACAGAGAAGGAAUUGCUAACAGCUUUGGUCAGAGAAGACUUUUUUUCUCUGUUAAAUGGUAACUGCAAAGAUUCAUAACUCAUCAAAGUGCUGAGUAUAAAGGGCUGUAGAAUCGAGUAGUGAGAUAUUCAAAUUCCCGCCUACAACAGUUAGGCAUGUCACUAACUGUGGAGAGAGGGGAAAACUAUGAGAAAUCGAUGAAUGGACUGUGUGACCAGUGCUGACUCCCUAGAAAAGACAAGGCUUUGAACUCAUUGCAGCUGUCAUUUCCUGCACAAGACUGGAUCUGUCAGCAUACAGACAGAUUGUUGGUUGAUGUCAAAGUGAGAGAUAUUGUCUCAGGGGUGUAAUCACUGAUGAAGUGUCCAUGCUUCUAACAUUCCUAGCAAACCCUCACUAGCACUCCUAGUAAAUGACCAUCAUGAAACUUAUGGUGCGAGACAAAAACAACAAAACCACCACCACAACAAAAAUGCAUGAAAUCAGAACUAGUUGGGAAGAGUAAUAGCUUUGGGAGGCGACAAGGGAGGUUAAUGGGAGAAAUAUUGUCAAAAUACAUUAUGUACAUGUAGAAGAAUUAUUGCCAUAAUAAAG